rnacentral:lncRNA from 1 species
AGAGUUGGAGACCUAUAGAAAGUGAGCCAAAGAUCUUGAAGAAGAGUUGGCGAGAACUAUUCAUUCUUAUCAAGGAUGGAUUAUUUCCCACGAGAAAAAAGCACAUAAUAAUUGGUUGGCAGCUUGGACUGCUGAAAGAAACCUCAAUGGUUUAAGGAAAGAAAGUGCUCACAACAGACAAAAAUUAACUGAAGCAGAGUUUAAAUUUGAACUUUUAGAAAAAGAUCCUUAUGCACUUCAUGUUCCAAAUACAGCAUUUGGAAGAGGCUCAAGAGGUCCAGGGAAUCCUCUGGACCAUCAGAUUACCAAUGAAAGAGGAGAAUCAAGAUG